CGGUAAUGAACUUUGAGCAAAGGAAGUACGGCAAAGCCACAAAGUUUGUCGACACGGCCUCACGGAGGGACGAGGAGUGACAGACGAAAGGAGGUCGUUGCUGAAGAUGUGCAUGUCUCCACAAUCAGCCAGAGAUGGCCAGCCCUAUUCCUGUUGGGUCAGGUACAUGCAGAAUUCAGAAGAGUAACAGGAAAAGAAUUGAUGGAAACGUUCUUCCCCUCCUUGGAUGAGCACACCAGAGCUCCGCACCGCAGCUCACCACCCCACUCAAGUGACACUAAGGAGUCUGUUGGAGUACCGAGACGAGCAGACCACAGAGAUCGUUAAACAUCGGAGGGUGGUGGCUGUCAAAGGGCUGCAGUAUUACCUGGGGGAGAAAACCGAGCUUUUCAAGACCUGCCAGCCAGACGGUGUUUACGAAGCCUCAAGCCCCGUGCCAAUGGGUAUCCUGGAGAUUGUGGGGCCUCCGGGAGGCCUGGAAGCUGCGCCAUUGCUACCUCCUUACGAGCCUUGAACCCCAGACUUUCCUUUACAGCUUAUACUGUCAGCUAUUGGAUUUGCUCUGUUUUG